GACGAACGCUGGCGGCGUGCUUAACACAUGCAAGUCGAACGGAGAUUAUUAAUGAAGCUUGCGAUUUAAUAAUCUUAGUGGCGGACGGGUGAGUAACGCGUGGGCAACCUACCCAUAAGCGGGGGAUAACAGUCGGAAACGACUGCUAAUACCGCAUAAGCUAUUAAGGUCGCAUGACCUAAAUAGUAAAGGUGGCAUUUAAAGAUGCUAUCACUUAUGGAUGGGCCCGCGUCUGAUUAGCUAGUUGGUGAGGUAACGGCCCACCAAGGC
rnacentral:rRNA from 1 species